rnacentral:rRNA from 1 species
GUCGGUAAAACUCGUGCCAGCCACCGCGGUUAUACGAGAGGCCCAAGUUGUUAGUUGCCGGCGUAAAGCGUGGUUAAAAUUAAUUCAUAACUAAAGCCGAACACUUACAAAGCUGUUAUACGCAUCCGAAAGUAAGAAGAUCAAUUACGAAAGUAGCUUUACCCAUUUGAACCCACGAAAGCUACGGCACAAACUGGGAUUAGAUACCCCACUAUG